CCUACGGGGGGCUGCAGUGGGGAAUAUUGGGCAAUGGGCGCAAGCCUGACCCAGCAACGCCGCGUGAAGGAAGAAGGCUUUCGGGUUGUAAACUCCUUUUAAGGGGGAAGAGCAGAGGACGGUACCCCUUGAAUAAGCAACGGCUAACUACGUGCAAGCAGCCGCGGUAAAAGGUAGGGGGCAAGCGUUGUUCGGAAUUACUGGGGGUAAAGGGAGGGUAGGCGGUUUAGUAAGAUAGUGGUGAAAUCCCAGGGCUUAACUUUGGAAUUGCCAUUAUAACUAUUAGACUAGAAUUACAGAGAGGAUAGUGGAAUACCCAGUGUAGAGGUGAAAUUCGUAGAUAUUGGGUAGAACACCAGUGGCGAAGGCGACUAUCUGGCUGUACAUUGACGCUGAGGCUCGAAAGCAUGGGGAUCAAACAGGAUUAGAUACCCCAGUAGUC
rnacentral:rRNA from 1 species